GUCAUGGGCUGCAGGAUAAGGGUGAAGUUGGACAAAGAACUUUGUUUCUGGGGCACUGUCUCUACCAAGAGCUCAAGCAGAUAGGAUGGGAAAGGAUCCUGCAGAAUUCAGCCUCUGCUCCCAGCAUGUUUCCCUAAGCAAGCGCUGCUGUGCACUUCACAUCAGAGAAACUUUGCCCAGUGACUGUAAUCAGAGGGGGAUGUUGGUGGCUUCAGUCUCCAAUAGAAAUCUAUUGAGUUCUGCCAGGUUUGCCAUG